GGUCGUGGUCCAGGCCGUGGGCAAUCUACUUCAUCGAGGUUUUCUGCUCUUACAUUUGUGCCUGCCUGUGUCCAUAUCAACCUUUCUCUGGCUGGUGCUAAUCGCCCAUUGUCUGCCGUGCCGGUCCAAGUCUCUUCAGGUAUUUUCUCUGAAGUCGAUGCUCGGAGGGCUUCUGCUGGUGACUCAUUUGAUUUUUUUGUACACAAUAUUCUUUUAAUUUCAGGAAGACUUUUUUCACUUGCCGCAGACGUUUUGUUCACUGAAAAUAUAUUGCCUUCUUCUAAUCUCUUUUCUCUUACCGAUCUUUACCUUCUGGUUGGCACCAAUUCACGGUGCAACUAAGCUGAUAUUGCCAUUGUUCCUCUCUAAGUUUUCCAUCCAGUUUCCAUCCGAUACAUUCCUCCAGGUCGUCUUCUGCCUUAAUUCCUUUCCUUUCUCUUACACCUCAGAUCAAUGUUUUUUCUGCUAUUUGACUCCGAUUGCAUUGCCAUCUGACGGUAUUGAUUUCGCUAUCAGAACAGCAGGUGUACAGCUCCUGCCAUAGAAAUCCAAAAUGAAUAUUGUUGAGGUUUGCCGGAUAAGGAUCAAGGAAAUCAUCAUUGGCGACGCCCAGCAAAAUUCACGGCUGUGUGCUCCAGUUAAUGCAGUGGUUCAUUCUAUUGCAGAUAAAUUACUACAGUAGCUAUAUCCAGGGGCAAUCAAUCUAUCUACUGAUGAGAAGAUUAUUGUGUCGUAUCCUUAUACAAGAGAUGCACUGCAUGCUGUAAAUUUUAGCCGAAAACAAGAAAACAUAUGGAUCAAUGUUCACCUGUAUCGAUUUACUUACGGCGACACACUGGCUCACGUAAGGACUGUAAAUAUUAACCAGCGCUGGACAGAGAGCUCAUGUUUGGAGAUCAAAGCUCCCCAUUUGUUUCCCAAUAAGUGUAUUAUUUUUUUGAACAAAGUUCAGGUUCCACUAUGAUAUAACUAGGAGGUGUACAUAGUUAUAAGAGUGCACCAACUACUGCAUGUAGAAGCCGUAUAGUUCCCCCUGCUGAAUGCUAUAUGUCACCAAAGAUGUUUGAGCUAUCCCCAGGUGGCAAGUGUAAACGUCCAUUGCUUGAUAAUAUCUGUAGAUGCUAACAGUCUUAAA